rnacentral:rRNA from 1 species
GAAUUCAACUCCUACGGGAGGCAGCAGUGGGGAAUUUUGCACAAUGGGGGAAACCCUGAUGCAGCGACGCCGCGUGAUUUAGAAGGCCUUCGGGUUGUAAAAAUCUUUUUUACGGGAUGAAAAUGACAGUACCGUAAGAAUAAGGUCCGGCUAAAUACGUGCCAGCAGCCGCGGUAAUACGUAUGGACCGAGCGUUGUCCGGAAUCAUUGGGCGUAAAGGGUACGUAGGCGGCCUAGUAAGUUAGAAGUUAAAGAAUAUAGCUCAACUAUAUAAAGCUUUUAAAACUGCUAGGCUUGAGAGAUGGAAGGGAAAGUGGAAUUCCUAGUGUAGCGGUGAAAUGCGCAGAUAUUAGGAAGAAUACCGGUGGCGAAGGCGACUUUCUGGUCAUCAUCUGACGCUGAGGUACGAAAGCGUGGGUAGCAAACAGGAUUAGAAACCCUAGUAGUCCAGGCGUU